UAUGUACCACUGUAAUGGUUUUGAUGUAACAAAUACCAGGCUUUUUGGGGUCUUUUUUUCUCUUCCUGCCCUUUCCUCCAAAAGAGGGAUGAAUUUUCUAUGUAUGAUUUCCAUAAAUUCUUUCUGAAGCUUGCACUGUGCUGCAGUGUUACAGCAAAGCCUUUUCUCUGGAACAGGCUGGUAGAAAUUUAAUUGGUUCCAGUGCUCAUCCAAGGCGUUUAGACAGCACAGUUUCAUUCAGGCAGGUGCAAUGGAUAUGUCAAUUUCUUACAUUCUGACAAGAAAUUGUACUGUUUGAAAAUAAACAACACUUAAAUGAGUGAUGGCCCUUCUGAGUUACUUUCUUGUGUUUCUUUUUUUUCCUUAGGGGCUGUACAAUAUAUAACUGAAUAAUAUGCAAGAUGAAAUAGAGGUAGAUGGACUUCUUAGCUUGUGUAGCCUCAGCAGUUCAUUUUGAGCAUUGUCUGAUUACUUCAAGGAACACAUUCAGCUUUCUCCAGCUUUUAAGGAAUCCUGCCUGGUCUUCUGCUGAGAUGUGCUCUUGGAAGGCAUCAUUCCUGCUGUUGUGAAGCAGUCUCUGCCUAUGAAAGCACUGUGCAAACCCAGUGGUGUGAGCAUUAAACUGUGUGAUUUCCAUCUUGCCAUAAGGUUCCAGCCCUCCAUCUGAGAAGGUAAUAAGGCAUUUAUACCAGUACUUGUAAAGAUGGUAGGACCAUGCUGGCUUGAAUUGUAAACU
rnacentral:lncRNA from 1 species